rnacentral:rRNA from 1 species
UACGUAGGGACCAAGCGUUGUUCGGAUUUACUGGGCGUAAAGGGCGCGUAGGCGGCCUGGCAAGUCACUUGUGAAAUCUCCGAGCUUAACUCGGAACGGUCAAGUGAAACUGCCAUGCUAGAGUGCAGAAGGGGCAAUCGGAAUUCUUGGUGUAGCGGUGAAAUGCGUAGAUAUCAAGAGGAACACCUGAGGUGAAGACGGGUUGCUGGGCUGACACUGACGCUGAGGCGCGAAAGCCAGGGGAGCAAACGGG